rnacentral:rRNA from 1 species
GACGAACGCUGGCGGCGUGCUUAACACAUGCAAGUCGAACGAUGAAGAAAAGAAUUGAAGCUUCGGCAGAAAUUCAUUUCGGAUUAGUGGCAGACGGGUGAGUAACGCGUGAGCAACCUACCUCUUACAAAGGGAUAGCCUCGGGAAACCGGGAUUAAUACCAUAUAACAUUGCGACGAAGCAUUUCGAUGCAAUCAAAGCUACGGCGGUAAGAGAUGGGCUCGCGUCCCAUUAACCAGAUGGUGAGGUAACGGCUCACCAUAGUAACGAUGGGUAACCGGCGUGAGAGGGUGAACGGUCACACUGGAACUGAGACACGGUCCAGACUCCUACGGGAGGCAGCAGUGGGGAAUAUUGCACAAUGGAGGGAACUCUGAUGCAGCGACGCCGCGUGAGUGAUGAAGGAAUUCGUUUCGUAAAACUCUGUUCUAUGGGAAGAAAAGGACUGUACCAUAGGAGAAAGCUCCGGCUAAAUACGUG